rnacentral:tRNA from 2 species
UGGGGAGUCGCCAAGCGGUAAGGCUCGGGACUUUGGAUCCCGCAUUCGCAGGUUCGAAUCCUGCCUCCCCAGCCA